rnacentral:lncRNA from 1 species
CUGCCUUGCCGUCCUUCGCGGGGGGGGGGGGGGUCUGGAAGAUGCCGCCUUUGUUUGUUCUGAACUAAGGAUUCCUUAUGGGUUUUUUGGGGGGAUGGGGGGCACUGGGUUAGACUUUCUAUCUCUUGAGGUGUUCUAGAUUUCAGGCAAACUCAGAAAGGGUCUCAGCGUUUCCUGACCUGGGGGAGACAGAAAGAGCGGCAGUGAAAUUGCUUCGAGUCAGAAGCAAAAAGGGCGUUGGGAAUCCUGGGGCCUCGGAGCUGGGUUGGGGGGGGGGUCUGUCUGCCUGUAUGGAAGCCUCUUCAGGCUCUGGGUCCACCGUAAGCCUUGCCUUCCACCUCGGGGCUACCUUGGGGGGCUGGAGAAGGGACUUGUAAGGGGAAAGGAAGGGAGCUGUCUGCCUAAGAGCCCACUCCACUAGCAACAGCUUGUUCCGACUCUUCCUUGAAGCUUUCAAGAAUCAAGAAGCUACCCUUCUCCCUCUGAGGUCUCUUGAGAAGGUUCUAACCCACAGGUGGGACCCCCAAGCCCUGAUCUGCCCGUGGGCUCCCUGUGGGGCAUGCCAGGUAUAGUGGAGGGGGUUGGGAUGAUAAGACUUGGUCCCUGUUAGCUGGGCUGUCUAGCUAACAGGUGGUAUGCUCAGCGAACCCGCAGGCACCCUCCCACCACCACUCUUCCAACCUAUCUUCUCCCGUGAGAUGGGGCUUCCCCAGUCCCAGCCGUCCAGGGCUCUCUGCGGGCUGCUGUACGACCUUGCAAGGACGCUGGGCUGAGAGUCCGCCUUCCGCGGCGUGGAAGGAGAUGGAUGAGCAUGCUAAUUGCAACUCAAUUUCUGAUAGCUGUGAGCAGCUCUUGGCGUGGGUUAAGCUACCUGGGUCUUUUCCUUGGCAGGAGAAGAGCGUCCAGUAGGAGCUCCGCUUUCGUAGGCAUUUCUCAAUUUCCUCCAAGUUACUCUUACGACUGAAGCAAGUCAGCUCUGGCCUGGGAAACAGUGGGGCUGGGAGUGUGCUGGGAGCACGUCUGAAACCCCACUGAAUUCUGAGUCUGUGCCGUGCAGGGAGUAAGUGCCAAGGCACUGAGGUCGGGCUGCCUGAGCUGGAAUCUCAGCCCUGCUGUGUCCUGUGGACCUUGGGCAGGUUACUUAACCUCUCUGUGCUUCUGUUUUCCCAUUAUUAAACUGGGGGCAUAGUACUAGUCAUGGGGUUAUGCCUACCAAAUGGAUACACUGAUCGAAUGAUCAAAUCUUUCUACUAGAACAAGGUAGGGGUCAGAAAAAGCUGACACAAAGCUAAUUUGGGGAAAACGCUUUCUGAAGGAUUGAGGCUCCAGGGGAAAGGCCGCUGCUUCACUCCCUUCCGGGCCCGUGCAAGCGGAGAGCUCCCAGUCAUGCAGCAUCGGCAGGUUCUCCUGCCUGACUUACAUCAAGUGUGAGGCUUACCCGAUGCUUAAGAUCCCAGCUGCUGUUCGGGAGCAUUACAUUGGCGCUACAGCGAAAGCUUCACAAGUGAAGGCCUCUAACUUUGGAAACCAAGACUGACUCGGGUGCUGAAACAGAUGUGAGGACAGAUGUGUGGCCUGGGGUCCCUUCGACCAUCACCUACAUCCUCUGAUCAAUGAUCCACAUGGGUGUGAACUGGGGGUUCACAGGACCCAUUGGGUGUCAGCCCCACUACUUGUGUUUAUCGGUGGUAGCAUAGCAAGUCACUUCACAGCUCUAGGAUGAUUCUUUCCUGAUCAGACUGCUGGUAACAACAGCUCCCACGUGAUGAGCGAUUAGUAUGUACUAAGUACUGACCUGCCUCUGAAUUAACAAGUUUAUCAUGAAGUUGAAGCUGAAACUGGGCUCUGUAGUCCAAAUUUAGUCUUGUUUGUCUUAGAAACUUAAUCUCCACAAAACCUAGAUGUGCCCCAUUGGGAUGGCAUUCUCAGUGGAUCAUUAUUACCCCAUUACUAGGGACUGUCAUCAUCCUCUUUAAAUGAGAAAUACUUUGGGGGAUGAAACCACUUGCCCAGGGUCCCAUAACCUACAACUGCAAAGUCUGAACUUAGUUUAGCCCAGCUUGUUGGAGUCAUCAGAACUAUCUCCUUGGCGUCCUUCUGAAUUCCACACAUCUGUUAAUACCUGGGUAGAUGGUAGCUGUGACUACCAACAUCUUGAUCUGAGCAUUCAUCAUGCCUCGACCAUCUUCAUACGUGAAACAAGGAGUGAUUUCUCAUGAGUCACUCAUUGUGCCCCAAGAGAUUCUGCUGUGGGAAUCGGGCUGUUUCUCCUACACACCCCUGCCUACUCAGUUACCCCCUUCUCCUCCCAACCCCAGUGCCCCCUCUUCCUCCCCUAAGGAACCUUUGACUUCAGUCCAACGUCUUGUUUCACCCAGUUCCCAUGGCUGUGACCUUGUGCCCAACACCUUAUAACUAGUACAACUCCAGAAUGUUGGGUUCCCAUCAACUAAUGGCUUUGAUUGCCCUCCGUGGCCUUAUGUAAACAGCCAGAUGUAUCAGGUGGGCCAGCUUUGUGACACUGUCACAGCCCUGAAGGCUUUUGCCUAUCGCUGUGUGGCAAUUGGGGGCUCUGGGGAGAGAAUCUCAGUCAUGGAUGAAGGAAACUUGUAGGAAGUUGGAGCGUGGGUGGCUUAGUAAUCAGAACUUGCAUUGGCAUCAUGGUGGUCGUCCAGGAGAGACUGAAUACUUCCUUGAAGUCCCUACUAGACCCAAGAUUGGGCUAGAGGGACAGUGGACCUGUCCUAGGGGCUGAUUUCUAAACCCAACUGUUCUUGCUCUAACUUAGGUCUUAAAAGUGCUUUGAUCUAAGCAAGUCUCAGAGAUCCAAGCCAAUAAAAAAUGCAUCUAGGGGCUUCUAUCAGGAAAAGUGUCUGCUCUGACACAUGCUGUCUGCCUAGGUUGUAGUUUCUUUUGAAAGACUCCAGAAGGAUCCAUCCCUCGGCUAUAAGGCUGUCACAUGCCUGAGGCUUUCUAGUCCUCCUGGGAUAAAGCACUGAAAACAAGCUUGGAGAACUUCAUGCCCCAGUACAGUAAUGCUCCAACCAUCUGAUAUAACUCAUGCCCUGUGCCUGAAUUCAGUAUGGCGCUCACUGGCAACUUGGGGUUCAGGAGUCAGGGAAGGCCUGUGAGAAGUGACAUCUGAGCACGUGCCUGAACUAACGGAGUCUGUACAAAAAUUGCACACACCCCAAGUGGAAGGAACAGCCAGUGUAAAUGUUCUGAGGUAGGAAUGGGUUUGAGACAGAAAGAAUGCGGCUGAAAUACAAAAUGAGCAGGUGGGGUAGUGGCAGUGGUUAGAUGGGGACACAGAUCGACAGGAGCUAGAUUCUGUGGGACCUUGUUAAUGAUGAAAUGGAGAUUUAUCCCAAGGAGGAUGCGAAGGCAUCAGCAAUCGAAGCUUGUGAGUGUUUGUGUUAAUCACUGGCAGCUGUCUGAAACGGAUUACCAGCAGCAAGAAGUAGGGGUUAUCAGUUAGGAAGAUUCCGGUUAUCCAGGUAAGAGAUGGGAGGAACCUGGUUAAAGUGGUGGCAUUGAGGAUGGCAGGAUGAAAAUGGAGAUUGAGAACUGGUAAUAGGAUUUGCUAAAGGACUGGAUGUUGGGUAUGAAGGGGAGAAAGCAGUCAAGGCUGUAACUUCCAGUCGUGUGGGCUAAGCACAUGGUAGCAGCAUUAACUGAGAUGGGGAGGCCCAGGGUAGGACAGCCCAUAUGUGGUAUUGAGAGCAGGCUGUGGGAAGUUUGAGAUGCUACUAUGGCUGAGACCAUGACUGUUCUCAUCUAACUAGUUCUGAUACAAGUCGGGGACAUCAAGAAGUGACGUCUCCUGCAGGAGACAGGAGAAACUGGGCACUAAGGUCCCAAAGGGAGCAUGAGGUUCCAAUAGCGUAGUGGUCCACGGGAGUGAGCAACAGCAUCACCAGCAAAAAGUUGAAAUAAGUGAUGCCAACAACCAGGACGUGACCCCCGAGUCCUGGAGGGUCCCAUGAACAGACUUGUAAUGGCACAACUGAACCCAAAUGGCCACUAAGCAUGUAGUCGAGGCUACAGUUCAACUCACGGAAGCAAAUCAAAGAUGCAUCAAACUGAUUCUAAGACACACGACCGAUCGAGCCCUUAGAAGGAAAGACCUAGGAGGCUUUCUACGUUUCCCCUACUUUUCUCUACUUUCCAAACCAUCUUUUAUGAGCACGGAUUACUUUUUAUAACAUUCUAAAAAUGAGAUCAACCCUUACCCUGGGCAGAAACGUCUAAGAAGCCAUGCUGAUCAUGGAAAGCGUGAUCCAGACUCACUUGCCUCUGGGUGUGUGAGUCAUUUGUGUUGUAAAAAUAAUGGCUUUUCCAAAACUCAACUUCUGAAGGCGCCUGAGCUAGUUAAACUAACUAGUUUCAACUGCUUUUGGACACUUCUAGCUGUUCCUGCGAAACAGUCCCUGGAAACUUCAAGUCUCUCUCAUAGUUAAAGAUGAGUGCUGGAAGGGACCUUGGACCGCUUAGCCAGACUGCCCCUUUGUAUAGAUGAGGAACGCAGGCCUAUCUGUGGAAAAACUUGUUUCAGGUCUGAGCUAAGCUUGCAGCCCAGAUCCUGACUUGGCUUAGCACUGGCUGCUCUGCUCUUCAGGUCCUCCCUACUCCCUCCCCUUUGUUGAAUCUGCUCUCGACCUAUUGCCUGCAAGGAGGGCCCUGAUGAAACAUCUGCAUCAAUUGAUUCAUUGAUGCCUUGAGUAACUCUGCUCCCAUUGGAGAUAAAUAAUGCAUGCCCCGACGCGGAGUUCUGGCAUGGCAUUGACUGAGAACCAGGGGGAGGAUGGGGCAACUGUCAGCACAAUGUGAAGUGUGGUCUAGGAAUUGACUCUCCAGUAGACGGACAGAAGCACGUGCACCUGGGUUUCAGCAAAGGCAACAUGCGGGACCAGUCAAGACGAAUCCAACUUUCUUUGUGAGCCUCAACUUCCGGCCCUUCAUCUGAGUCUUGCUCUAGCAUCUCACUGUGGAUGUCGAUAAAGUGGCACCUUCCUUCAUCUCCUUUCAGAACUUAUUGAGCACAUGUCAUAUGCUGGUUGCUGGCAAAGAGUCUGGCCUGAUCUAAUUGGGAUAAGGCAUGCUUAGAUGGAUAAACAGAUUUCAGGCAACAAUGGAUCUCCUCUUUGGGGAGACCUUUCUAUAUAGUCUACUGUGGGAUCUCUCAUUACACUUUCUCUUAAGUCCCAGGAAGUCAUAAGUUUGGAAACUUCUAAGCAGAAGGGCCUGUGCACAGACCUGGGGGCCAGAGAGCCAAGCCUGAUGCAAGGGAUGGCACAUGACAUGAGCUGGAGAGGAGGGCAGGGGGUCGGACAGCUCCCCUUCCUGAAUCACACUGGAAUAGACUUGAGGGUGGAUUACGCGUUGUGGUUUUGUCUUUCCAAGUGGGCUGAGGGCUGGAAGGUGGCCCCUUGGGUUUAUUCUUCCCAGCAGUUAGCACAGGAACACACUGGAAGCAAGGAGGGCAGGCCUAAAAUCCUGGUGUUUCUGGGGUGGAGGGGAGAGAAACUCAGAGGUAGUUGAAUCUUCAGGUGAGGCAAGAGCAUGCAUCAGCUUCACUGUGGGAUGGAAGGAAUGCUCCUGGUUAACAUGAACUCCUGAGGUCAAGUGCAUUCACUGUACUAGUUUGGGUUAAACGUCUGCAUUAGACAUCUUUAGCAGGCUCAGCUGGACUUAGAGUUUUUAGGCUAAUGUUAGCCCUAGAAUAUCAAUCAGGAGGCCUUGGCUUGCUGGAGACUUCUACGCAGGUGGUUUUGGCUGGCCUUUUCUCGAAGGUAUUUCUUGCCCUAAUGUUGGGCUUGCGAGGUCUACUUGUCUUGCCUGCUCACAAGAGGAACUUCCAAGUCUAAGAGGCAGCAAGGAUGAGAUGUAAGGUGAAGCUUAACACAUCAGAUGAAUUCGUCUGAAGGUCUUUCCCCAUCCUCAGAUCACACUGUUUCCUAAAAGCAAACCAGCCUAAAGGUCCUGACGUAUAGUAGGUACUCAAACAUAGAUCCCCAAAUAUUGGGUGGUUAUUCUGGGUUGCCCUAUGAAACAGUCCUCUUCUCAGGAGACCAGACUUAGACAGAGGCUCAGAUUUGUGUUUAAUGGAACUAGCAUGGGGUGGGGUGAGUAUGGCUCCGACUGGGGAGAUGUCAACUAUAAAUGUUUCUCCCGAGAGGCCCACCACACAGUCCGAGUGACUUAGGUCUCAAUUAACAGACGGGUGACGAGAGAAAUGGAUAUUAUGCUCCGAUGUUGGCUAACUGAGCCACCCUAACCUCAGCUGAGUGAACUGACCCACCUCCAGCUCUGGCCUAGUGAGCCUCGUCAAGCAUUAUCUGAAGCCCCGGGGGGCUUGACUGUCUCCAGUAGAGAAUGGUGGAGACUGAGGCGUAGAUACCAUCCCCAGGGCCUUACUUGAAAGGGGACGCCCCAAAUCCCCGCAGCCACCUGUGUGGUUCUCUUGUUAGGCUUGUGUGUCUGUGCUGCUCUACAGCCCUUAUGACAACUGUGGCUGCACAUGGAGCCUGUACCCGUGCUCUAUUGCUGGGUAGCACAAAUCUGGCAGCUUAAAAUAGACUUAGUAGCUUAUAGUUCCGCAGGUACUGACCAGGCACAGCGUGGCUGGGUUCUCUGCUCAGAUACCCUAAGGGUGAAGUCAAAGUACCUACUGGGCUGUGUUCUCAUGUGGAGUCAAGGGCGACUCAGCCUCCAGGCUCAUUCUUGUUAGUCGGUUCCUUGCAGCAUAAGGCUGUCGUCUCCAUGCUGGCUGUCAGCUGGCGGCCACUCAGCUCCGAGAGGCCUCUUGCAUCCCUUGCCGUGUGGCCCCCUCCAUCUGCAAGCUGGCGAUAGUGUUGUGAAUCUUUCUUGUGCUUUGAGUUUCUGACUGCUUUUGACUUCUAGACUCAAACCUGACGGGCUCAAGUAGGGUGAGGCCCACCCAGGAUAAUCGUCCUCUUGCCACAUAAUGUAACAAUCCCAGGAGUGAGAUCUCAGCACGUGUUCCACCCACACUCAAGGGGCAUGAGCAUAUGGGGGGAAUCUUGGGGGCCGUCUUGGGGGACAGCCUAUCACCCCUGUGGCUUCUGAUCCUUUGCUAGACUCGAGGACAGGAAUCUUAUCUCCCUCACUGUACUCGGCACCUAUGACAGACUAGAGCAUAGAUGUCGGAGCUCCUGGGACCUGAGUCUUGAAUACUCAGGAACUAAGAACCUUCUGUGGGAUUUAAUCGUGUCUUUCCGCAGAUGCAGCCUUCAAGCCAAGACAGGAAAGGAACACUAACGACACAUCCCAACUUGAUCUUAUUUAAAAACUGUAUCCUCCCGGCUUGCUAUGACAUCCAAAGCACUUGUAGAAGUCCCACUUAGGAAACGGGCACUGCUAUUACUGUCAUUAUCCCCAACCGGAACUACGAGCAAUGAUGGACCCAACCUCUUACACGUGUCCACUUGCAGAAUGUGGGCCUGAGAGCAAUUCAACUUAAACGCGCUUGUGAGGGAGUGAGCAAAGGGUUUUCCUUUAGUACUUUUCUUGUGACAAUCCCUAUGUUGGGUGGGUGCUGCCCCCUUUGGGUCAGAGGGAGUAGUCGUGCUAGCCUUGUGUUCACUGGCAUAGUCAAGUGUCAGGAAAGCCAGCAGCCAAGACCUUACUUCCUUCUAUCCUCAUCAGGACUCACUCCCAGGUGGUUACUGCCCUUCAAAAAAAAAAAAAAAAAAACUGCUAGGUGCUGCCCACUCUUUCCCCUUCACGUUCUUGGAGGAUUAGUUUGGAGGCUGGGGCAGUGUGAUGUCAAAGGCGGGGAAAUCAACCCUAAUUCCGUCCUGAGCCCUACUUUUCCUCUGUAAGAUGGAGUGAAACCAUCUGCACACAGUGCACCUGCCGCCAUUCCUCCCUGGACCGUUGCUAAUGCACCACAGCACUUGGUCCACAGUGAGCUUCUGCACGGAUGUGGACGUCUUCUCAACACAGCAGUCGAGGGCAGCUCCAAGCAGAACUGCAGACUAGUAUUCGGCAUUUCCUAAGAAGGCAAGAGUAUGGCUUGGAACGAGUCUCGGUCCUCAGUUCUCUACCCAGGCGGCAUUCCCUGGCGUAGGGGCUCCACUGGGUCAGCCCGGGGCUGCA